CUAGGGACAGAGACCAAGUUUCAAGUGACAAGACUCCUCCAGCACAUGAUAGAACAUCUGGCACACAGCAAGUAUGCAGUGAAGUUUGUUGAAUAGAUACAGAAUUGUUUGUGGUGUCAGCAGGGAUCCAGUCUGCUGGGAGAAGUCAGCCCACCUCUGGACACCAAGGCUUCUGAUCUUCCUGAGCCUUCUCACAUUUUCCUCUAUCUUGGGGGUAGAACACACCUCUGAUGGGGACAAGACCAGCUGUGCAGUGCAUAGAGCAGCAACAGCAGCUCAAUCUAUAUGCUGAUUGUUGGUGUCCAUGCAUUAAAUGGCAAGAGGCUGCAGCCCACGAAUGUUAAGUGAGGAGGAAGCUUCGCAGAAGAGACAUUUACUGCUCUGCAGCUGGCCAAGGCUGAAGAGUGUGUGCAGAGCCAGGCUUCAGGAGAAGAAUCACCUCCUCAGACCUCACAAAGCCAUCAUCCUGUCACGAGAGAGGGCCUGCCUCCAGACUCUAUACCUAAAACGAAAGGUAGCGCCAUUGCGGUUGCCUCAAAAGCCAACUGGAAUUUUCAAGGUAUGUUCACUUUCAGUAACUUCCUCCAAGGUGGAAGUUAGCUGGACAAUAAUAUAA
rnacentral:lncRNA from 1 species